UGACCGUUGAAACGUACGUCAUCACAUCUUGCGUAGAGGCCAGUGCUUGCUAUGCGGUCGAAGCAUUGGAGAAGGUUGUCGCUUUUUAUCAGAAUUCUUACAAACAGAUUGUUGUCAACAAUGAAUAUGGAUGGCUCAGGGCUGAAGAAGGCCUUUGGAAAAACACUGCUAUGCCGAGUUAUAAUAGGUGCUCUACAGCAGUCCACACCUUCAGCAUCAGAGGCUGAAAUAAAUAAAUACAGCUAAAAAAUGGCUAUCUCCGGUCUUCUCCCGAUAGAUGUGGGGGUAUGGGACGAC